UGCUCGAUAGCUCAGUUGGUUAGAGCGCGCGCCUGUUAAGCGUGAUGUCGUGGGUUCAAGUCCCACUCGGGCAG
rnacentral:tRNA from 1 species